UGCAGUCGAGCGAACAGAUAAGGAGCUUGCUCCUUUGACGUUAGCGGCGGACGGGUGAGUAACACGUGGGUAACCUACCUAUAAGACUGGGAUAACUUCGGGAAACCGGAGCUAAUACCGGAUAAUAUUUCGAACCGCAUGGUUCGAUAGUGAAAGAUGGUUUUGCUAUCACUUAUAGAUGGACCCGCGCCGUAUUAGCUAGUUGGUAAGGUAACGGCUUACCAAGGCGACGAUACGUAGCCGACCUGAGAGGGUGAUCGGCCACACUGGAACUGAGACACGGUCCAGACUCCUACGGGAGGCAGCAGUAGGGAAUCUUCCGCAAUGGGCGAAAGCCUGACGGAGCAACGCCGCGUGAGUGAUGAAGGUCUUCGGAUCGUAAAACUCUGUUAUUAGGGAAGAACAUACGUGUAAGUAACUAUGCACGUCUUGACGGUACCUAAUCAGAAAGCCACGGCUAACUACGUGCCAGCAGCCGCGGUAAUACGUAGGUGGCAAGCGUUAUCCGGAAUUAUUGGGCGUAAAGCGCGCGUAGGCGGUUUUUUAAGUCUGAUGUGAAAGCCCACGGCUCAACCGUGGAGGGUCAUUGGAAACUGGAAAACUUGAGUGCAGAAGAGGAAAGUGGAAUUCCAUGUGUAGCGGUGAAAUGCGCAGAGAUAUGGAGGAACACCAGUGGCGAAGGCGACUUUCUGGUCUGUAACUGACGCUGAUGUGCGAAAGCGUGGGGAUCAAACAGGAUUAGAUACCCUGGUAGUCCACGCCGUAACGAUGAGUGCUAAGUGUUA
rnacentral:rRNA from 1 species